AUUGAACGCUGGCGGCAGGCCUAACACAUGCAAGUCGGACGGUAGCACAGAGAGCUUGCUCUUGGGUGACGAGUGGCGGACGGGUGAGUAAUGUCUGGGGAUCUGCCCGAUAGAGGGGGAUAACCACUGGAAACGGUGGCUAAUACCGCAUAACGUCGCAAGACCAAAGAGGGGGACCUUCGGGCCUCUCACUAUCGGAUGAACCCAGAUGGGAUUAGCUAGUAGGCGGGGUAAUGGCCCACCUAGGCGACGAUCCCUAGCUGGUCUGAGAGGAUGACCAGCCACACUGGAACUGAGACACGGUCCAGACUCCUUCGGGAGGCAGCAGUGGGGAAUAUUGCACAAUAGGCGCAAGCCUGAUGCAGCCAUGCCGCGUGUAUGAAGAAGGCCUUCGGGUUGUAAAGUACUUUCAGCGGGGAGGAAGGCGACGCGGUUAAUAACUUCACCGAUUGACGUUACCCGCAGAAGAAGCACCGGCUAACUCCGUGCCAGCAGCCGCCGUAA
rnacentral:rRNA from 1 species